rnacentral:rRNA from 1 species
GACGAAGGUGGCGAGCGUUACUCGGAAUUACUAGGCGUAAAGCGUGGGCAGGCGGUUUGGUAAGUCUGUUGUGAAAGCUCCUGGCUUAACCGGGAGAGGCCAAUGGAUACUGCCAGGCUCGAAUUCGGGAGAGGUGACUGGAAUUCCUGGUGUAGCGGUGAAAUGCGUAGAUAUCAGGAGGAACAUCUAAGGCGAAGGCAGGUCACUGGACCGCAAUUGACGCUCAUCCACGAAAGCUGGGGGAUCAAACAGG